UACGAAGGGUGCAAGCGUUGUUCGGAAUUACUGGGCGUAAAGCGCGCGUAGGCGGGUUGGUAAGUCGAUUGUGAAAGCCCUGGGCUUAACCUGGGAAUGGCAGUCGAAACUACCAAUCUUGAAUGUCUGAGAGGAUGGCGGAAUUCCCGGUGUAGUAGUGAAAUACGUAGAUAUCGGGAAGAACACCUGAGGCGAAGGCGGCUAUCUGGCGGCACAUUGACGCUGAGGCGCGAAAGCGUGGGGAGCAAACAGG
rnacentral:rRNA from 1 species